GGAGAACUCGCUGUGCUGCCACAACACGUUUCCCAGCAACACAGAACACAUGGGAGAGAUGCCCGUGGAAUUUUGCUGACUCAGGUGCCAAAAUAACUUGGCCAAAAUAAUUUCAGACCUAGGCUCUUUGUCCAGGGAAGCAUGGCACCACUACCUAUUCUGUCCUGGGGAGUGAAAUAUCUUGGCCUGGCCCUGCUGCUGGCAAGCUAGCUGAACUCCAUCAUUGUGCCUCACCUCAGUUUCCCCUACUGAUCAUCUUUCUACCUGAACAAAACAGUAUAAUAUAUCAGCUCGACAAAAGAAGUUCCAAAAGCAGCUUAAAAUGUCCAGUUCAAAACUCAAUUUACCAAAAUUAUAUUUCACAGACAAAGCAAAUCAGCAGUCUGAAAGUCAUAAACACAAGACUGGAAAACAGCAAGACACAGUGCAAGCUUUUCUGAAGAAGGAAGGGGAGCUGGUUCACCAGGUUGAAGAGGGGAGGGAGGAUCUUGAAUCCUCUCGCUAAUGGCAACGCUAGUAAAGGUCUGCCAACAGCUGUUUUCCAUGGAAGAUUGUCUUGAUCCAAUGUGCCGAAAAAGCAUGAGCCUUUAACAGUGCAUUUGUCUGCCUCAACACAAUCGUUGAAAUGUUUGCCUUCAUUACGGCUCCAUCAAAACAAUACAGAAUUAAG